rnacentral:miRNA from 1 species
CACAGGGGAAGCUCAGUGCCAGCC